ensembl:lncRNA
GUCAGUCUGGCUGGUGGAGGAGUCUGACAGCCCUCAAAACCCUUUGGGGACUGGGAUUAUGCCCUGUUCUAUUCCUGCACAGCCCCUCACCCUACAGGACCCUGCUGUGGGAGCCUUCCAGGGACCACGGUAAAAGCAAUUAUAAACACAAGCAUUUUGAUUUCAGCCUUGCUGCCUCUCCCUGUGCCAGCAUUGUUUGUCAUUCCCAGCAGACCCACGGCAUUUUCUCCUCCCAGGGAAGAGCACUGUGACAAUGAUGUUGGAAGUGCUCUUUGACGUUUGGAGCCACGGUAACGAGUAAAACAUGAAGCCUCCACUUUACAGCGAGUUCUGCGACUUCUGAGGAUUUGUUUUAAAGCUCCUUUAAAGGAAACCAGAAGUUGCACCAGUCUCCAUCCUUGCUGUCAGAAGGAAACAUCCACGUGGCCACUGGGGAUGGCUCAAAAACACGGCUCUGAGCGUGCCAAGAAGCUGGAAAACAAAGAACAGCCCAUGGUGGACUAGUUUUGUUCUUGGAGAUCACCCUGGUCAGCCUGUGGCUGGCAGGGAUGAAGAUCCAUCUCACGCCAGCUCUGUGGCCCGUGACCUCAUGAGCAGAGGUGGCCACAGACAGACACCUCCUUCAACCAAGAAAUCAACACCAAUCACCACAACCAGCCUCUCUUCCCUCUGCUCCCGGCAUUAAAAUGCCAAGAAGUUUUGUCACAAGAGGACUUCCCCGCCCCGAACACCACAGGUUCAGACCCCAACUCUUCACCAGAACCCCAAAAUUUUCCCCAUAUGCUGGCACUUAUGGAAUCAUUCUCAGCAACCAGAAACACAACAGGCUUUGGGAGGAAAGAAAAUAAACCAGGUCUUGCUUCCACCGUUGUCUCCUCUCCGCAGGCUCUGACAUUUUUUUGUGCAACGGGAGCGGGGCCGCGCCCUCCUCGUUCCUAUAGAUGCCAAGUUGGUGACUUGCCACAUUAUUGGAGCCCACAGACCUCGGGCUUGGUCCAAGGAAGGAAGUCAGGCUCCGGCAGAGGCAACUGCAUUGAACUUGCUCAAACACGCAGAUUUCCAGAGCUCUCUGCUCCCACAGGACAUUGCAACACCAUCCCGAGAGCCUGGCGUGCCAAAGAGGGAGCUGGUGUCCAGGUUAGAUCCAAGCCACUACAGGAAGGUGGGAAUUACAGACCCUGGGAAAUGCAGGGCUGCAAGAACAGAUCAACCCCGUGCAAGGAGUCUUUAGCUCUGCAGUCAUCUGUGAGUCACUCGUGGCACCUACACACAUGUAGCCACCUGAAGCAAGCUCCAGCAGAGCCAGGCUUUGUGCUGCAGGGAGGACACCGUGUUCCCUGGGCUGCACAUCUCCUUCCCUUGGCAGCUGCUGCAGAGGCUGCUCCUUCUCCACAGACACCAGAGAGCACUGAGAAAAGAGCCAGCCCCAAACUUCCACCCACAAAAGGAAAGGGGGGUUGGGGGGGGGGGGGGGGCAAGGUGAAAAUUAA